rnacentral:rRNA from 1 species
AAUCAACGCUGGCGGCGUGCCUCAGACAUGCAAGUCGAACGCGAAAGUUUCCUUCGGGAAGCGAGUAGAGUGGCGCACGGGUGAGUAACACGUAAGUAAUCUACCUCGGGGUGGGGAAUAACAUCGGGAAACCGAUGCUAAUACCGCAUAAUGCAGCGGCUUCUUAUGAAGACAGUUGUUAAAGCAUUUAUGUGCCUGGAGAGGAGCUUGCGGCAGAUUAGCUAGUUGGUAAGGUAAUGGCUUACCAAGGCAACGAUCUGUAGCCGACCUGAGAGGGUGGUCGGUCACACUGACACUGAAUAACGGGUCAGACUCCUACGGGAGGCAGCAGUCGGGAAUUUUGGGCAAUGGGCGCAAGCCUGACCCAGCAACGCCGCGUGAAGGAUGAAGUAUUUCGGUAUGUAAACUUCGUAAAAUAGGAAGAAUAAAUGACGGUACUAUUUGUAAGGUCCGGCUAACUACGUGCCAGCAGCCGCCGUAAU